GUGCGCCUACGGGGGGCAGCAGUGGGGAAUAUUGCACAAUGGGGGGAACCCUGAUGCAGCGACGCCGCGUGGGUGAAGGAGUAUUUCGGUAUGUAAAGCCCUAUCAGCAGGGAAGAACAAUGACGGUACCUGACUAAGAAGCACCGGCUAAAUACGUGCCAGCAGCCGCGGUAAUACGUAGGGGGCAAGCGUUAUCCGGAUUUACUGGGUGUAAAGGGAGCGUAGGCGGUGCAGCAAGUCAGAAGUGAAAGCCCGGGGCUCAACUCCGGGACUGCUUUUGAAACUGUUGAACUAGAUUGCAGGAG
rnacentral:rRNA from 1 species